UGGGGGAUAUUGCACAAUGGGCGAAAGCCUGAUGCAGCGACGCCGCGUGGGGGAUGAAGGCCUUCGGGUUGUAAACUUCUUUUGCUCUGAACAAGGCGCACCAUGGGGUGUGUUGAGUGUAGGGGUUGAUUAGCGCCGGCUAACUACGUGCCAGCAGCCGCGGUAAUACGUAGGGCGCGAGCGUUGUCCGGAAUUAUUGGGCGUAAAGGGCUUGUAGGUGGCUGGUUGCGUCUGUCGUGAAAGCUCAUGGCUUAACUGUGGGUUUGCGGUGGGUACGGGCUGGCUUGAGUGCAGUAGGGGAGGCUGGAAUUCCUGGUGUAGCGGUGGAAUGCGCAGAUAUCAGGAGGAAUACCGGUGGCGAAGGCGGGUCUCUGGGCUGUUACUGACACUGAGGAGCGAAAGCAUGGGGAGCGAAGAGG
rnacentral:rRNA from 1 species